CCCGCUGAACUUAAGCAUAUCAAUAAGCGGAGGAAAAGAAACUAACAAGGAUUCCCCUAGUAACUGCGAGUGAAGCGGGAAAAGCUCAAAUUUGAAAUCUGGCGGCUCUGCCGUCCGAGUUGUAUUCUGGAGAAGUGCCUUCCGCGCCGGACCGUGUACAAGUCCCUUGGAACAGGGCGUCAUAGAGGGUGAGAAUCCCGUCUUUGACACGGACCCCCGGUGCUCUGCGAUGCGCUCUCGAAGAGUCGAGUUGUUUGGGAAUGCAGCUCAAAAUGGGUGGUAAAUUCCAUCUAAAGCUAAAUAUUGGCGAGAGACCGAUAGCGAACAAGUACCGUGAGGGAAAGAUGAAAAGCACUUUGGAAAGAGAGUAAAACAGUACGUGAAAUUGUUGAAAGGGAAGCGCUUGCAACCAGACUUGCGCGUAGUUGAUCAUCCAGAGUUCUCUCUGGUGCACUCGAUUACGCUCAGGCCAGCAUCAGUUUAGGUGGUUGGAUAAAGGCCUUGGGAAUGCAGCUCCUUUCGGGGAGUGUUAUAGCCCUCGGUGCAAUGCAGCCUACUUGGAUUGAGGACCGCGCUUCGGCUAGGAUGCUGGCGUAAUGGUUGUAAGCGACCCGUCUUGAAACACGG
rnacentral:rRNA from 1 species